rnacentral:lncRNA from 11 species
AUGAUGGAGGGCCUGUCGGCGGGCUCCUCCUACUCGGGGCGUUGUUCGUCCUCUCCUUCGGCGGAGCGGCGCCCCCGUUACCAGUUCGGUCUCCAAGAGACUCCGGCGAGUGUCGGUCCUGCGUCUUCCUCCAACGACGGGGCCCUCCCUCCGCAGAAAGGCAAAGACACCAGUAGCGGCCUGGAUUCCACCUUCCUCCCAAGAGGGUUGGAAGAUUCAUACUUUGGAGACAAGAGUUCUUAUGCAGAAAACAUUAGCACAGUGAAUUUAACAAGCCCUUCUUCAACCAGAGCACAAAAUAUUCCUCAGGCCCGGAAAACACCACUAUCAUCUGGUAGGGCAGGAUAUAGAAAUUGGACUCCUUUUAUGGGACAUUCAGGUACAGUUGACUUAACUGCUAUUAUUUUAAAAAUGUAAGUAUUAGUAUUUUGUAGAAAAAUAUGCAGACUUUGUGUGUUGGAUCCCUAAAUUGUGCUUCCGAUAGACCUGUUGAAAUCAAUGGAGUUUAAUAUACAGCUGACUUAAAAUAUGACUAAUUUAAAUCUAUUUUAAUGGAUCUAUCUUUAAGUAUGACUACGUUUGAAUGCAAAGUUAUCGUUGUUUUUAUCAUGUAUGUAUGUGCACGUGCACAGACACACACUAUUGGUGGUUAUGCAAAAAGAUUGGGUUACUUUUCCAUCUGUUACGAAGGAUGAAAAAGAGUAAAUUUAUCUUCAAGUCUACUAGAGGUUUAGAGAUGUACCAUGUGUUUCUGGAGUCAAUGUGUUAUACAAUAAACUGACAUUCUGGGCAACAAAAAUAAUUUCUCUGCAUUGGAUUGAAUGUUUGGACAACAUUUGCAGAGGCUAUUUCCAUGCAUCUCGAAUUCUGAUGUUACUUUUGAAAUACCUGAUGGGUAAUCUGAGUCCCAUUCAAGGUGAGAAGGACAGGAUAAAAAUGUUAUAAAUAAAUAAAUAAAUAAUAGUUAUACAACAGUUUCCAUGCUGAGAUGCUAAAUGAGAAGGAACUCUCAGAAGAGCAUAUCAGCUUUCACUUUUGUAUUUUGUUGCAUUGUUGCUGUAAUUCCUAAAUUUGAUCAAUUUUGAAUAUAUGAAUAUAUAUUAUAGCUGAACAUGCAGCUAUCAAAACUAGAUAUUAAUCUUGUGUCUUUAAACCAGGAGGGGGAAUGAUGUGGCCAUCCAGAAGUUGUUGCACUAUAACUCCCAGCAGUCUUUCUCAUUGUCUGUGGUGAUCAAGGCUGAUGGGAGUUUCAGUGCAGCAACAGUUGAAGGGCGUGAGUGUGUGCUUGUUUUAUAAGAAAUUUACCACAUCCACACACAAUACCUUGAGUAAUCCUAGAAUUUGCAGAAGUAAAAACAAACAAACAAAAACAAAAUGAACUACCACCACUCACACAAUCAUUUGAGAAAAGACUUUAAGGGAGAACAGCCCAAUGAAAUAUGAGCUCACCAGUUGUCCAUGGAAUGUUAACUUCUUAGUGCAAGGAUGGAGAAAUAGUAGAUCACCAGAAGUUAUUGGGCUCCAACCUUCAUUCCACCAGUGAGCAUAGCUAAUGGGCAAUGAUAGUUGGAUGUUCAGAAGUUUCCCACCCCUGGUUUUGAUGGGUAAAGAUCCCUGUUCAGGUGAGAAAGAACAGUGUAGUGGAAUGGCUAGAAAAGGAGGCUAUUGAACUUACAGAUUUCUGUUAUGAAAGCUUUUUUUAAAAUGAGAAGAGUAAAGUAUCUACCGUAUUUACUUGAGUGUAAUGCACCACUGAAUGUUAUGUGCAACUCAAUUUUGAAUGCGCACAUUAUGUAAAAUGGAUUUGCCCUCAAAUGUAAUGCGUCCAACAGUGCAUUACAUUCCCUCAGUCAGGCUGAGGCUGGCGAACUUGCCAACCUCUCAUGAUUCCCAAGUGGCUUUAUUCAUGAGACCUUCCAAACUGAGGGGAAAGUUUUGAAGGCCUUGUGAAUGAGGCCAGUUGGGAACUGCAUGGGACUGAGCCUGGGGGAGGGGGCAGGCAAGAGACCCUCAGGGCCCAGAAGGCAGGAUCUGUGGCUACAACUGGGUCACCGGCUGGACGCUCCUCCUACUCUGAGUGCCACGGAUCCCUGAAGCUGCCACUUCCACUAAGAACAGCCUCUUUGUGUCCCCCACCUCCCUGUCUGGCCUCUGGGGUUCUGGGUCCCUCUGGGCUUUUUCACACAAGUGAGUUUAUGUGCUUGAUUCUCAUGCACCAUUGAAUCUAAUACACACCUCAGUUUGGGCAAUGUAAUUUAGCUUAAAAAAGGGGAACAUUAGAUUUGAGUAAAUAAGGUAUAUGUGUAGCAUGUUUGAGUUUCUUAGGCUAUGUAAACUUUUCUUGAGACAGACACAUAUAAACUUGGAGAUAGCUUACAGGUAUGAGACCAGAGUUAUUAAAGAUGUAGGUGCUGUUUUACUGACACUCUCUUGUCUUCUACAUUAUAGGUUGUUCAAAUGGACAGUAGAUGGCAGUGUAAAAUUAUAUUAGAAUUUUUAGUUUGAAAUCUGAACAGCUAGAAAAACUGACUAUAAUCAUACUAAGUAGCUACUUCAGAAUAUUAUAAUUUAAAAUAUGCCUUGUUGGGCUAAGAAGUUUGAAGGAAAUAAAAUAGUAAAUGAAAUAUUGGCAGUGUGAGCAAAAGAAGUGUUCUGAUUUGAAUACCUCUGCCACUGUAUUGUGUCUAAAAAGGCUAGGACCAAAAGGUGUCUAACAUGAGCCAAAAGGCAUCGCUCUCUACACAAGGGAAGAAAAAGCCACUGCGUUUAUACUCCAUAUGCAAUCCUCUGUGUACUACAUACUACACUUCCAAUCGUUGUUACUAGUGUAUCAGCUGCAGUGGGAUGGUAGAAAAUCUCAGUCCUUCCUAUUCAAGCCAGUGUGUCUAAGACAGGAUUUGUAACCCUUUUAAGUAUAUAAUUUGUAAACAGUGUGUGAUGAAAUGUUUGUGUUGUUGCUGGUAUAAUUUGUUUUAAUUACAUAUUAC